UCCCUUCUGUGUUCGCGAAUCUUCCUCGCGGGCUAGGGUUUGCAACAUAUCCACACCGUCGGCGCCUCUCUCCUUCCUUCUCUCCGACCGGCGGCCUCUAUUCCUUCGCUUUCACUGCCUCCGGCCGGCCAACCACAGUCCACCUCUUCUUCUCGAUUCUAAUCAGCGACGGUAGCAGCAAGUGGCGGCAACAGCGAGCUUCGGCAGCGAUUCCGGUCAUCCACCUCACCGGAGGGGUUCUCCGGUGUGUCCUCCACCUUCCCGCAUCCUUCAGACCUUUCCUCUCCUUCUGGGGUUCGGACGGACAGGGGACGAAGAGGGUGGCGGCAGUCCAUCACCAUUUCCAGCGGCCACCACCAUUUCCAGCCACUUCCAGCGGAGGGUCUCUGUUGGAAGAUCCGUAUCAUCCCAUUGUUGUCGAAGCGUGCAACAUUCUGGCAGCGAGCCACUGUCCACCGGUUUUGGGGGUUCCGAAGCCGGGUCUUCGUGUGACGACGAGGAUAGUUGUUGGCAUCAAGGGAUCUUGCAUUUGGAUCUAUUCGAACCGAAUUUGUGCUCGAAUUGGAGUUUAAACGAGAAGAUCAAGCUGUGGAGCAUUAUGGACCAUUCAUCAAAGAUUGGACAGAUCUGAACCAUCCAUUGAAGAUCUGGUCCAUCCGACCUAAGGGAGAGUAUAUCUAGAUCCUUGAUCAAGAUCAAUACAUUCGGAUCGGAUUUUAGGCGAUCUUUCACCGUUGAUUGAGCUCCGAAGCAUCACAGCCGUCCAUUCAGAUCUCAGAUCUGAUUUAAACGGAGAAGCUACAGUAGCUUCCUCGUCGAUCUCCUCCACACUGUGCUUCGCGUCCCGUGGUGCAUCUUGGCGAUUUCCGACCCCGAUUUCCAUCUCUGAUCAUCUUCUCAGGCGACGUCUUUAGUGGAGAGCUUCAAGGCAACUGAAUCCAAAUCAUCUGGAGCCAUCGGCGGGCAUUCCCUCCGGCGUAAUUAUGCUUUCGACGAUCCUCUGUUCUCCUCAAAUUUGGCGGCGUUCUUCCAAUCUGUGGUGUCCCUUUCCAUCAGCAACACUCGGCGGCGUUCCUUUGAUGUUCCUGAGCUUCAUCCGACGAUCAUUUAUCAUCCGUAGCUUCCAUUUCAGAUUCAGAGGUGAAGGUUUGCAGAUUUCUAGAUUUUCAGCCAUAUCAUAUGUUUUGAGUUGUUUCCAGCUUGCCGGAGGCGUUCCGCCGGUGUUGCUGAGCAAUCUUGGAACUGAGACGCAGUUGAGAUUUUUACUGAUGACCGGAGUUGGGCGUUCUCGUCUCCGACCUCUUGUGUGACGACAAGAGUGUGAAGUUUGUUUAGAUUGAUUGUGAGAUUGGAACGGUUAUCAUUUUAUUUCAUUUUAUUACUGUUUUAGAAGUUAGAACAGAUUUCUUUGAUGUUUGUUAUGUUUUUAGCAAGUAAUAUAGCAUUUCAUUACCUUGUUGAAGCUUAAUUGGUGUUUAAGUUUUAUUUGAGCAUGGUUAAUUGUUAAGUGAUUAAGUUAGGGUUUAAAUUUUGCUUUAGAUCAGAUUUAAUUGUGCCUUGUUAUUUCUUUCUUAGUUUAAGUGUGUUAAUGAUUUAAUCACAACGUAGGGUGACAAUACGUUAGGGUUUGAUUAUUGGCCACAUAGGUAGAUUUCAUUUAUGUACUAGAUAAGUUUCUUAUUUGCUUUCUUUUCAAUUAUUAGAUUUAGAUUCAGAAUUCAAACCCCAAUUUCAUAUUAAAAACCCCAAAAAUAGGAACAACAUACGAUCCUAAGAUUACCAUUCUACUGUUAGUUCCUCGAGAGAUUCAAUCCUGGGCUCGUUAUUACAACAUCAUUGUGUAGUUAAGGGGUUCAUGAAUAUACAUUGUUAAUUUGAUUUGCGGGUGUGACAGACUCGCUCAUCAAAUUUUGGCGCUGUUGCCGGGGAAAUAUACAGUGUUUGGUGAUCUUAGGAUUGUUUUACUAUUUUGAUUGGUGCCUAGACACUUAUUUGUUUGAUAUAUCCAUGUGUUCGGUAUUUUGAUCUUUCUGUGUCUGGUGAUUUUGUUUGUUUCAUUGUUUCAGGUGAGACCAGGAUAUGUAUACAGUAACCGUGGAUCCAUUUGAGGCUUUGUUGAUGGAGAGAGCUGAACUUGACGAUAAUGAUAACAUGAGGAAGGCGCUCAUUUCCAUUAGGUCUAUUCCACUUCCGCGUUAGCUCCUAUUACUGAACCGUAUUCACCCACCAGAAAUUCAGGGGAGUUUGAUUCAUUCCACCUUUUAUUGGUCAUUGUAGAUAUCAUUCCUUUACUUUGAUGCAUGAAUAAUAUCUUGGUUUACUUUGGCAAUCUUGUUGGUUUUUGAGCAAUUUUGUUGGGUUUGUAAAUAGUUUUUUUGGUUUUCGAAAAUAAAAUGUACCCCUUACAUUUCUUUAUAUCAUUUUAGAGAUUUUUGAAAACUAGUUAAAUUUAAUUGUUAAGUUUUGGAAUUCAUUGUCAUGAUUGGAUUCUUUGAUUACAUGAGGUUGUUACUCAGUGAUGGAUUCUUGAUUGAUUAAUUGAGAUGAUAAUUUGAAUACCUAGUGAGGAUUAAGCUUAAUUUGUGUUAUGCGCUUGUGUGAUUGUUAUUUCUAGAACUUGUUUUGAUUCUUUUAAAACAACAAUACCAUACAUUGAAUCAUUCUUAUGAAGGUUAAUCUAAUUCUCUAAUCUUCCACACAAUUUCUUGCUUGUUUUUCUUUUGAAUCAUCAUAUCAUUUUAUCUUUUCUCAUUUCUUAAUCUCUUGGAUAUGGAUACUUUGUUUGUUAUAUGAUGAAUUAUUUGAUCAAGAUGGAUAAAGUUGAAGUGUGGGGGGAUAGUGGAAUAUGUUCAGAGCUUAACAUGUUUUUAUUGGAUGAAAUCUAUUUUAAGCUAUGAAAUUACUGUUUUGUACCAAGUAUUUUCACAAUUUUUGGUGGAUUGUUUCUAGUCAAGUCAAGAUCAAGUGAUUAUGCCUGAGACCUUGCUAAUGGAAGUGUUACAGCAGUUCAUGUUUUAAAGCUGCAAACAAGUAAUGAGUUCAUAAUAAGUUCCAUAUGCAGAAGUUCCUGAUGCUUGAAUGAAAAUCUAGGCUAAAGUCUUGAUGAUUUAAUCUGAAAUUUCCUUGAAUUCCAAAUUCUGAAACUGAUGUUGAAAGAGAAUCAGAAUUAAGAAGUAAUACUCGUUUGAUAUUUGAAUUCAUGGAUUGCAGAGUUUACUACUGCUAAGAGGUUUCUUAGUUAAUGUUGAGAGUAUCACUGAGGAUGUGAAAGGAGUACCAAGUAUAGAACUUAUAUCUGAAUGGAGUUGGAAAUUUUGAUUUCUGGAAAAGGAAAAAAAAACUGUACUAACACAAAAGAGCAGAACUUAUUUUCAUGCUAAUUGCUGGUGAUGUUUCUGUUCAGUAUUGUUUUGAAAGGAGUAAGCUUCCAGAAAGUUGUAACAAGCUGCAAGUGAGAUGGUUCCAUUGAAUUUAGGAGUUGAAUCAGCAGAAAACAGAGUUGAGCCGAAGCUACUUUAAAUUCUCAAUUAUGAAGACUAAGCCUUAAUUCUGUAAUGCAGGGCUGAUUACUGAAAUUGAAAUGCAGAAGUUGGUCAAAUCUUAACAACUCCUGCAUGUGAGUAACAAGAAGUCAUCUCUAAACAGCAUGCAAGAAGUAAGAAAAAAUCACUGAGUUUUAUUUCAAUGGAAGAACUGGGUUGAGCAAGAGUGAAAUUAGCUCAACUGUUCUUGGGGAAUACAAUCUAGUUAAAGUAGUGCUAUAUUCAUACUAGAGCUGAGUUCAUGGGAGAAGAAUUCAGCAAUUGAAGAUUAAAGGUUUCAUUAUGGUGACAGAAUUUAAUAGCAGAUUUAGUUUUCAUAUCUGAUUUUUUAGUGUUGUUGUGCAACCAUGGAUGUUACAAAAGCUUCAUUGCCACAAGCAGUAGUUAGGCCAUCUUAUUAAGCCAGAUCUUGAUCAGUUAACGAAUUUGCAUAGAAGAUUAAAUGUGGACUGUUGUGUGCCAAUAUGAUCUGCAUAUUUCUGUGAAUGUAGUUUCUGAUCAGUACAGUCCUGUAUUUGUAUUCUAAGUAAUUGGGUACUAAAUGAUGUUAAUGCCUGGGAUUGAAUUGUCCAAAGUUACAGCUAGGUGCUAUGCCAGUUCUCGAAUACUGAUUUCAAAUCUGAAGUACUUACCAAGUGGAAUUCACCUAUUCAUUGACAGAUGUUAAAAUGUUCAACUUUGAGUUAUUGCUGAUAGCUUAACUCUUCAUGAUUCAGACCUGAAAUUUCCAUAAAUCUGAAAUUAUGAAACUGAAGUUGAAAUAUGAAAAAGAAUUUGGGAAAUCUGCCCAAUUCAGUUUAGGAAACCAAUGCUGGUUAAUUCCUUGCCUGCCCAAUUUAGUGAUGAAAUUUAGAAAUGCAAAGCUGAAUCUGUUUAGAGAUCAAAGCUGUUCAGAUUCAAAUAAAAGGAAUGGAAAUCAAGCUAUUAUCGAUUAAAUGUUAAUUGUGAUUCCCUAAAAAAAUUAUGAAGUUCUACAAGAAUGAGAAGUCAUGGAAUGGAUUUUUGAAUUCUGUACCAAGAAGAGUUUGGAGCUACAUUGUGUUACAAAUUUUAUUUCUUCUUCAGUCAUUCAAAGAUGAGUUCAAUCUUUACAGUAACUCAAAGUUCCUGAAAUAGACGGCAUUCAAAAAUUCAAUUCUAGAGAUGCUGGAUUUUUGUUCAGCAGAAUAUACAAGUCAUUUUGGUUGAAAAUCUGGACAGCAUAUAGUGUAAUUUAGUUCUUACAAGUUCGAUGAAUCUGAAUUGCAAUGGUGAACUUAUUAACUUCAUGUGGUGAUAUGUCAAGUAGAGGAAAUUCAUGCCAAGUUGCUGAUUUUUGUGCCAAGUGUUGACACUGUUUUUGAGUUACUGUGGUUUUGAAUAUGGGGAUUUUUGUACAGGAAAUUCAGAGUGUAACCCCACUCAAACCAUUGGAGAACAUGUGUAGAAGGGAAGAUACAUAUGUUGUGAGUUCAUGGAGGUUUCCACUUGAUUGAUGCCCAAUUCAUUGAUCCCUGAAUUGAAGCUAGUAUUAUUCUGAAUUAUGAUGCUAUUGAGGUAAAGGAAAUGCUAAUCUGAUAGCUUGGCAAAUUGAGGAUGCUUGGACAUGAGCUAGUGUUGUUGCUGGAUCAGAGAAUGGAAUGCAAGUGAUAACAACUAAUAUGAAUUUUGGACAGAAAAGAAACUAUGCUUACAGAUUUGGCCAAGAUAGAUUGAGUGCCAAAUGUUCAUGUUCUUUCUAAUCAGCAACAAUAUGAAUUUUAACUUCUACCAAUUCAGUGACAAAUGCAACUUUCUUUCAAGUUGAGUCCUGGAUGAUUCGAGCUGGAAUUGCAUCAACUUUUGAAUCCUGAAACUUAAGUCUAAGAGUCUGUGAAAUUGAAAAAAAAAUGAUGAAAUUGAUUAGAGCAAUUUGAGUUCAAAUUCUGAGCUAAAUUACAUUGAAUUCCAGAGUAUGAAACUUUCUAAUCUCUAAAAUGAAAUAUGGAAUCCGGAAUUCAGAAUUCAAUUUCUAGAUUUCUUCUUGGUUCUUGUAUUUCUGCACUUGAAUUAUAAUCUCUGAAAUGCAGUUUGUCACUCCAACUUUUGGGGAAUCAGAAUACUCAUCUUCAAUGGGUCCUAUACAAGUUCAAGGGAUGAUACAAGAAGUCAAGAUAGCUGUCACAAAAGUGCAGGAAUUGAUAAUUUCACUUAUGAGGCUGGGUUUCAUUGAGCUUGAGCUUGAGUCUGAAUUUGGUUUUGGAAUAUGGAUUUAAACUGAUUUGAGAAGAGAAUUAAAUUUCUGAAGUCGGAAGAGAUAUGCCUAAGGAACAGAAGAUAAAACCUUGAACCGUUUGGCAUCCUUAAUUCUUUGAGCUAGAGACUGAAUUUGACGUUGCAGAUUGGAUUGGAACUACUCUCAUAGUCCCUCAUUCUUAUGCAGGAUCAAAGCCAAAUCUGCUUAAACUUAAUUCAAGAAUUUAUAUCUGCUUUGCUGAAAAAGUUUGCAACCCUAUUGGAAUUCUAUAUUUCAGGAAGUAGCAGUGUGAACUGAAGAGGAUGAAUACUGAUCAUUUUGAUCAGUAUGUUGAAGAAAAUAUCUGAGUAACAUGUACAAGGAUCAGCUGGAUUACUGCAGAAUGUAGUUUAAUUUUGUAUCCAUUGAAUGCUUGGUAUUCCUGCAACUUCCUUAAACUAAAUGUCUGAAAUUGGACUUCCUGAAAUCAGAAAAUUAGAAGUCAGAAAUCAGUAUUAAUCUGAAUUAAACCUUUGAAUCCGGGCAUCAGUUUAUAAAGUUUGUCUGGUUACUGAAUUUGCAGCUAGUGGGAGUUAAAAUUCGAGCUGAAUUUUUUUGCCAUUGUAAGAAAAUGUGGUUAAGUUUUGCUGUAGAUCAAAUGCAAAAGAGGAAAAAACUUUAUAAAGGCUGGAAGGCAAGCAGAAUCCAGAAUUACAGUUGUGACAGAAAUAAAAUGGAAACUGAAUGCUCUACAUAAAUGAAAUGUAGAAGCUGGAAUCUCUACAAAACAAGAAUGAAGUUUUUAAUUUUGUAGGUGUUGUGCCAAUCUGCAAUUUGAUCUUUUUGAGCUGAAACAAAUUGAACUCAAGCUCUUAUUUAUUGAGUGCUAAAUGAGAUGAUGUCUUACAGAAAUUAAAUGUUACAGCUUGAUCAAAAAUUAGUAAGAACAGAUUUCAGAAACAGAAAUUUCAGAUUCUGUUUGGUUUUCAAACCUGAGAUGGAAUCUUAGUGAUCAGUAAUCCUUUAACUACAGAAAUUCUACAAUAAUGAGAAGCAUAUAAGGGCCUUAUUCUCUAAAUUUUGGGAGAAUACCAAGUUGGGACAAAGGAUCACUAACACACAGUGCUAAAAAAGAAGAAGUGUAGCUGCUAUAGGAAUCAAUUGGAGCCAAGUGUUCAUACAGCAGAACUGAAUUCUAAUUUUUAUCAUCUCAAUGCUAAAUGAAACUCUCUUCUAAAGUUGAAUCCUCGAUGAGUUAAACUAGAUUGCUCUUAAGUUAAAAUUCUGAAACUGAAGAUUGAAGUGGCAAGGUUUAAGAAUCAGUUUAAUGUCUGAAAUUUUCAGUAUUGUUUAUAAACCUGUUUCCUGGAGUUCUAAAUUACAGAAACUUCAUAAGCAGAGUAUGGAAUUGAUUUCCAAAUGGCUGAAACUAUUUUAUUGAUUUUAAAACUUUGAGAUCGAAAGUCCUAAAUCUGAAACCUGCUGCUGUUGUAAGUUGAUUUUCUGGAUUCUGAAUCAGUGUAUUAAAAUUCUUACCAGCAGUUUUUGAAAUUAGUGAGACAGUCGAGUGAAGCCCUGGAAUUUUCAGAAACGGAAGCAAAAACAGUGAGAAAUGCAGCUGUUGGUUAUCUGAUCAUUAUGGAUUAAGAUUCAAAAUUUAGUUGAUGAGUACCAUUCCACUCAUGAAGUAGUUCAGAAGGUAAUAUGAAUUCUGAGAAUUUGAAGUUGGAAGCUGUAAUUGGGAGUUAGGUUCAGAAAUACAGUAGGCAGCACAGGAAUUCAGUUUUAGGUGUUGUAUCAAAUGUGUAUCAAUUUUUAUCACCAUCUUUCAAAAUAGUGAGGUAGAACAAUUAAACUCUUGCAUUAUCUGUGACAAAUGGUUUUCAUCUCUUUCUAUGACUCCUCAAAAUGGAUGGAAUUAAUAGAGGAUUUCUGAAACUCUCAAGCUGCUGAAAUGCAGAAACAGUGAUGUGUUAGAGCUACUGGUAACUUGAUCGAGAAUAAAAAUUUGAACUAUAAUUGGGGAGUACCUUUCUAUUCAUGAAGCACUUCAAGAUGAUAUCAUAAACUUAAGUGCAGCUGCAAAUGAGAAUGGAUCAAGGUAUCAGCAGCAACAAGCUUGUUCUGUGAUGAUCAGGAAUAAUAUCAAAUCUGCAGAUUUGAAACUGUUGUAUUAACUUGGAGUGAUAUUAUUGAGUUUUAUUGCUCGAGAUGAUCAAGGUUUAAGUGUGGGGGGAGGAUGGAAUAUGCUUUGAGUUUAGGUUGUUUUUAUGGGAUUGAUUUCAUUGUUUGACAUUUGGUAAGCUGGUGAAUUCUGAAUUAAUUGUAUUGUGUCAUUGGAACUUUUGGUACUGGAUGGAAAUUCAGCAAGUCUGAUGAAUGCUCAAGAAGGUAGUGGUAGCAAGUUUGAUGAAUGCUUAAGAAUGCAUGAGUUGAGUUUUCAAGUUACAAGCUGAAUUUGUUCAGGAAAUUUUUCACUUUGAAGUUGGAUCCGAAUUUUGGAAGAAUAUUGAAGGCUAUUCAGUUUGGAUAACUGCAUUAAUUUGAUGCUCAACGAGAUAAUACAGAGAAAGUUAAGAUCAAGGCUUAGAUCAGAGAAAAAGGUGGAACAGAAUUGAAAUCUUUUCACUUGACAGAUUUUGUGCCAAGUUGUUAAAUUAUGUUUUGGAUCUAAUAUGAACUGAAUUUAAGCUGCUAAUUACUGGGUACUAACUGAGAAAGGUCAUAGAGCUUAAAUUUCAAAGAUUGAACUGAAAUUUUUGGGGAAUAGCAAAAAAUUGGGGAUGAAGUUUGAAACUUAGAUGAAGAAGUGCAUGAGGCUGAAAUCUGUUUAAUAUGUAGGAGUUGUAGUAACUUGAUCAAAUUGUUUCUAAUCUGAAAUAAAUUGAGAACAAGUUUCAGCCAAUGGAGUGCAAAACGAAACUUCUACACAUACCCAACUUUUCAAGAUUCAAACCAAGACACUUUGUCAUUCAAAAUUCAAAAACAACAAAUGCAAAAUCAGCUCACUUCUUUGAAAUUAUGGAAUUUAUUAUACUGUUAUGAAUUGAAAAGAAGCUGAAUUUGGGAAAUAAUUGUUGAGCAUUGGAGAGUAAGUCAGAAAGAAGGGAAGAUAGUUGAGCAUGGUCAAGAAGUUCAUCUAUAUAACAUUCUUUAGUGUCCAUGUCUUCCACUAUACCUUUGAAUUGUAUUGUCCUUAUUUCUUUUCUUGCACACAAACUCUCAUUUGAUUUGAUUCAUGCUUUCUUUGCCAUCAUUAUAAACCUUCAUAAUUGUGUAUUCUAAUGUUUUGGAUAAUGGUGAAGAGUAGAAGAUAAACAAGCCUAUGGUAGUGCAUGAAAUAUAAGUAGCUUGAGUGAUCUCCACUAUUCGUUACAUUUGUGAUUAGGAUGAGAACCACAAAACUUACCUUGUGAGAUUUAGCUGUGAAAUCAUUCUCAGUGCAAUCAGUUUGGAUUGAAGCCAUUAUGUAGUUAACCAAGGUAAGAAUUGAGUCCAUGAAGGCUUGAAUUGUUGAAACUUGACAAUUCUAGGUAACUUGUUUUAAUUACUUUCUAAACAUGAUUGAGAUUUGUUAGGGGUACCUUCUUUAGUUGUUUUCUUAGUUUUAUUUACUUGCACGGGGUGUUCAAGAUUAAAUGUGGAGGAUUUGAUAAUCAUGAUUUUACUAUAUUAUUUUGAUUCAUACAUGCAUGGUUUGAUGUUAUAUUCAUAGAUAAAAUCUAUAUUUGCAUCACAUUUCAUGCAUUGUCUUUAUUCUUGGAUUUAAUUGUAAAUUAUCUUAUUUUUGUGUUAUUUGAUGUUAAUAUUUGAUUCUUAUUUUGUAGGCAUCAAGGGAUCUUGGAUUUGGAUCUAUUCGAACCGAAUUUGUGUUCAAAUUGGAGUUUAAAUGAAAAGAUCAAGCUGCGGAGUAUUAUGGAUCGUUCAUCAAAGCUUGGACAGAUCUAAACCAUCCAUUGAAGAUCUGGUCCAUCCGACCUAAGGGAGAGUAGAUCCAGACCCUUGAUCAAGAUCAAUACAUUCAGAUCGGAUUUAAGACAAUCUUUCACCGUUGAUUGAGCUCCGAAGCAUCACAGCCGUCCAUUCAAAUCUCAGAUCUGAUUUAAAUCGAGAAGCUACAGUAGCUUCCUCGUCAAUCUCCUCCACACUGUGCUUCGCGUCCCGCAGUGCAUCUCGGCGAUUUCCGACCCCGAUUUCCAUCUCCGAUCAUCUUCUCAGGCGACGUCUUCAGUGGAGAGCCUCAAGACAACUGAAUCCCGAUCAUCUGGAGCCAUCGGCGGGCGUUCCCUCCGGCGUAAUUAUGCUUUCGACGAUCCUCUGUUCUCCUCAGAUUUGGCGGCGUUCUUCCAAUCUGUGGUUUCCCUUUCCAUCAGCAACACUCGGCGGCGUUCCUUUGAUGUUCCUGAGCUUCAUCCGACGAUCAUUUAUCAUCCGUAGCUUCCAUUUCAGAUUCAGAGGUGAAGGUUUGCAGAUUUCUAGAUUUUCAGCCAUAUCAUAUGUUUUGAGUUGUUUCUAGCUUGCCGAAGGCGUUCCGCCGGUGUUGCUGAGCAAUCCUGGAACUGAGAUGCAGCUGAGAUUCUCACUGAUGACCAGAGUUGGGCGUUCUCGUCUCCGGCCUCUUGUGUGACGGGAGCAUGUAAAGGAUUUAUGGAGUCUCUUGGAGAUCCUGUCCGCCAAUCUCAUAUCACCUCGAACGACUUCUUCAUUAUUGGUUUUGUACUCGUACUCGUAAUAUGAAUCUUCUGUGUAGAUUUUUGGACUUGUGGCGUCCUUUUAUUUGGUUAUGUACUUAUCGUGUCAAGCCGGGUCGACUCAUAGUCAGUUGUGUUAUUUUUAUGUUUUGCUUAUGUCUUGUCCAGUUGUGUGGGUUAUAUAUUUUUUUGCAUGGUUGUGUUUUGAUUCCAACCGUGUGGCUGUAGAUAUUAUUCUUGUAUAGUCAAGUGACUUAUGUA